rnacentral:rRNA from 1 species
UACGGAGGGUGCAAGCGUUGUUCGGAAUCAUUGGGCGUAAAGCGCGUGCAGGCGGCCAUGCAAGUUGGGUGUGAAAGCCCUUGGCUCAACCAAGGAAUUGCAUUCAAAACUGCAUGGCUUGAGUGCGGGAGAGGGUAGUGGAACUCCUAGUGUAGAGGUGAAAUUCGUAGAUAUUAGGAGGAACACCUGUGGCGAAGGCGGCUACCUGGACCGACACUGACGCUGAGACGCGAAAGCGUGGGGAG